rnacentral:rRNA from 1 species
UGGGGAAUAUUGGACAAUGGAGGUAACUCUGAUCCAGCAAUUCUGUGUGCACGACGAAGGUCUUCGGAUUGUAAAGUGCUUUAAGUUGGGAAGAAAAAAAUGACGGUACCAACAGAAUAAGCGACGGCUAAAUACGUGCCAGCAGCCGCGGUAAUACGUAUGUCGCAAGCGUUAUCCGGAAUUAUUGGGCAUAAAGGGCAUCUAGGCGGGGUUUCAAGUCGACGGUGAAAACUAGUGGCUCAACCAUUAGCUUGCCGACGAAACUGAAAUUCUAGAGUAUUGGAAAGGUGGGCGGAACUACAUGAGUAGAGGUGAAAUUCGUAGAUAUAUGUAGGAAUGCCGAUGACGAAGGUAGCUCACUGGACAAAAACUGACGCUGAAGUGCGAAAGCUAGGGGAGCAAACA